rnacentral:rRNA from 1 species
GACGAACGCUGGCGGCGUGCUUCAUACAUGCAAGUCGAACGAGAAUCUCUAGCUUGCUAGAGAGGAAAGUGGCGGACGGGUGAGUAAUAUGUAGAGAAUCUGCCCUUGAGAGGGGGACAACAGCUGGAAACGGUUGCUAAUACCCCAUAUGAGCGUACCUGAGAUGGUAUUCUUGAAAACUCUGGUGCUCAAGGAUGAGUCUGCAUCUGAUUAGCUAGUUGGCGGGUAAUGGCCCACCAAGGCGACGAUCAGUAGCUGGUUUGAGAGGAUGAUCAGCCACAAUGGGACUGAGACACGGCCCAUACUCCGUACGGGAGGCGGCAGGUAGGGUAAUUUUUGCGCAAGUGGGACGAAAGCCUGACG